AUCCUUACCUGCCAGGGGAGACACCCUCACCGCGGGGGUGCUUUCCCCAGGGCAAGGCUCAUCCAUUGCACUCUGGAUGUGCUGACCCUGGGAUCUCCCCAAACGUGGGAAACUUGGCCGCAUAAUUUGUGGUAGUGGGGGGCUGCGUUCACACUUUCCCCUA